AGAGAUUUGAGUCUCACUCUCAUCUGAUUCUUCUUCGUCCUUUUAAGUAAUUUGAUUCCUAAAAGCUCUUAAAAAUGGCUGCAAUUUACAGUCUCUACAUCAUUAACAAAUCGGGCGGGUUGAUUUUCUACAAGGAUUAUGGAUCAGCCGGACGAAUGGACACAAAUGAUAGCCUGAGAGUGGCUAGUUUAUGGCAUUCAAUGCACGCGAUCUCUCAACAGUUAUCCCCUACUACUGGUUGUUCGGGCAUCGAACUCCUUGAAGCGGAUACUUUUGAUCUCCAUUGCUUCCAAUCUCUUACUGGGACAAAGUUCUUUGUGGUCUGUGAACCUGGAACGCCGCACAUGGAGAGUCUUUUGAAAGUCAUCUAUGAACUGUACACAGAUUAUGUACUGAAGAAUCCCUUUUAUGAGAUGGAGAUGCCCAUUCGAUGUGAACUAUUUGACAUCAACCUAUCCCAGGCUAUACAGAAGGAUCGUGUUGCCCUGUUAGGGCGAUGAAUUGCCCUAGAACAUUGAUCUCACCAAAUUGUUUUUGUUUUCUUAUCUUGGUUUGUAUCUUUGCAAUAGCAAAAAUACUGGUUUUGUUUCGUAUGAGCUACAUCUUGUUCCGCUCAUUAUCGACAAAGCAUGUUUUCCUCUAGACUAGCAAAACAGGGUAGGGCUCUGUCGAUUUCAAAUCACACCAAUAUCUGGACGAAAAUGCAAUGUAAUUCACUUCUGGACAUAGUAGAGUGUGAAGAAAGGGAGAUCAAUAGAUUCAAUCUCUCCAUUAAGUACAAAAUCAAGGUUACAUCA